rnacentral:rRNA from 1 species
AACGAACGCUGGCGGCAGGCCUAACACAUGCAAGUCGAACGCUGUAGCAAUACAGAGUGGCAGACGGGUGAGUAACGCGUGGGAACCUUCCCAGUGGUGCGGAAUAGCUCAGGGAAACUUGGGGUAAUACCGCAUAAGCCCCUAGGGGGAAAGAUUUAUCGCCAUUGGAUGGGCCCGCGUCGGAUUAGCUAGUUGGUGAGGUAAUGGCUCACCAAGGCGACGAUCCGUAGCUGGUCUGAGAGGAUGAUCAGCCACACUGGGACUGAGACACGGCCCAGACUCCUACGGGAGGCAGCAGUGGGGAAUAUUGGACAAUGGGCGAAAGCCUGAUCCAGCCAUGCCGCGUGAGUGAAGAAGGCCUUAGGGUUGUAAAGCUCUUUUGGCGGGGACGAUAAUGACGGU